rnacentral:rRNA from 1 species
UACGGAGGAGGCAAGCGUUAUCCGGAAUCAUUGGGCGUAAAGCGCGUGUAGGCGGUUCGGUAAGUCCGCUGUGAAAGUCGGGGGCUCAACCCUCGGAUGCCGGUGGAUACUGUCGGACUAGAGUACGGAAGAGGCGAGUGGAAUUCCUGGUGUAGCGGUGAAAUGCGCAGAUAUCAGGAGGAACACCGAUUGCGAAGGCAGCUCGCUGGGACGUUACUGACGCUGAGACGCGAAAGCUAGGGGAGCGAACGGG